UACGGAGGGUGCAAGCGUUAUCCGGAUUCACUGGGUUUAAAGGGUGCGUAGGUGGGUUGGUAAGUCAGUGGUGAAAUCUCCGAGCUUAACUUGGAAACUGCCAUUGAUACUAUCAGUCUUGAAUAUUGUGGAGGUCAGCGGAAUAUGUCAUGUAGCGGUGAAAUGCUUAGAUAUGACAUAGAACACCAAUUGCGAAGGCAGCUGGCUACACAUAUAUUGACACUGAGGCACGAAAGCGUGGGGAGCAAACAGGAUUAGAACUACCGUUCGUAAGCUCCAAGUCCAAGUCCUCGUGACCUGACCGUUAACUACACC
rnacentral:rRNA from 1 species